ensembl:lncRNA
CAAUACGACAUGCGGCCCACACAGCUUCUAAAAGAGCAGAAAAUUAAAGGAGGAAAAAAAUAUGCAGAUGGUCCCUUUUCCCCACAGGUUCACCUGUAGCAAAGAUGAAUGCAGCGCUGCUGAAUCCUCCCCUCGUCAAGUUUUUAAACUGGGUGAGCAAAUCGAGCGCACCGUCUCUACAACCUGCAAUAAUCUGUGUACGGGGCUCCGCACCCUACGUGAUGUUCCUAAAGAGCUGCAGCCCUGCACACAUAUCAGGACACUUUUCAAGAACAGCUGAGAGGUGUAGGCUACUACUAAGCGAGGUAUGUUGAGCAUAAAACCAGAGUUUUCUGUGUCAGGAAGGUGUGUCUGUUUUAACCUGGCUGGAUUACCGUGCUAACUUAUGCUGCAGGUACGGUUGCUACCUUUCAGAAAUGAAAAUAAAGGACGCCCACCACGGCUCCUUGGGGCCACAGUUCAGUAAAAUCGAGAAAGAAAAAAUGAAAGCUGCUACCGACCUCUCGCUUUUACAAAGUUUUUUUCAUGUUUUUUUUUGGCUCUUUAACCCAGUAGGAAAGCUGUAUAUGACCUUUUCAUUUUGGACUGUUAACAUUCAAAUUAUGAUGGACUUGUUUCCUUGUUUAUGUGAAUUACAACAUCAUUAGCUGUAACAUCUGCCUGUUCUGUAAAGCUGGUAGCUCAACGACAGCAUCCUGAGGGCAAUUAAGUGACAAAUACUGUGCAAGAACAGCACUAUUACAACCCUGUCAAUUUCCACUUCUUAGAAUGUUUACUGCCAAUUAUCACACAUAAAACAAGAAAUAAUAUUCUGUACUAAUACUUCUGUACUACCCAAUACACAGUGAAUAAAUAUUAUCUGAAAGUCGGGUUAUUGUUGUUUAUCAGCACAAUACAAAAAGAUUCAUGUUAGACAUAUUCCAAUUAAGACUAAUUAGGGCUGCACAGUGGUGUAGUGGUUAGCACUUUCGCCUUGCAGCAAGAAGGUCCCUGGUUCGCGUCCCGGCUUUCCCGGGAUCUUUCUGCAUGGAGUUUGCAUGUUCUCCCUGUGCAUGCGUGGGUUUUCUCCGGGUACUCCGGCUUCCUCCCACGGUCCAAAAAUAUGCUGAGGUUAAUUGAUCAUUCUAAAUUGCCCGUAGGUGUGAAUGUGAGAGUGCUUGUUUGUCUUUGUAUGUGGCCCUGCGACAGACUGGCGACCUGUCUAGGGUGUCCCCUGCCUUCACCCGAGUCAGCUGGGAUAGACUCCAGGUAAAUUUACCUCAAUAAUAUGAAUGUUCAGGUUAAGAUUGUACAGUGAUAUUUAUUAUGUAAGUUUAGCUGAUUAAAGUUUAUGACUCUGCACUAAAAUAUUAUUUAAAUUGACAUCAUUAUUAUAAUAUUUAGGGUCAGACCCUACAGUAUUGAGAUUAAGAAAUCAAAUAUUCUAUAAAAUGUAAAUACACUGAACUCAUUUGGAUAUAUUUAAGUGAGACUCUACAAUAUUAUUUGACACAAAUCUAUCUAAAUCAAAAUUUUAAUAAUUUUCACACCAAACAUUUACUGGACUGAUUUAAAUAUUAAAAUCACUCCUUUCUAAUCCUCUGCUGUACGUUCAAACCUGAGGCCUUAAAUAGAAACACACAAGUAUCUGAUUGAAGGAACUUCUGCAGAGUCCUGGUUCCAGAACAUGAUGAUAGAAUUAUAGACAAACUUUAACAAAAGCUGCCUGAGAGUUUACAGGUUUUUAUGUUGGAUUUCUUCAGUAAUUUAAUGAGCAUUAUCAGCAAUAAUCAAGUGUUCAUUUGAUGAACUUGAUUUCCUAAAACAUCCAGAAUUGGAGCUCAUAUCUUUGGCAGCUGUAAAGUUUCUGCUCCUUCAAAGUUCACAACACAAUGAAUGAAUUCCUAAAACACUCUCAAUGCUGGAGAGCGUUUGAUGCUGAAGCAGUGAUCAGUUUUUCUGUUUCUUCUCUGGAGAUGCACAAUGAGGGACGUCUGCAGUGACUGAGAAAGAG